GAGACAGCAGCAGCCGCGGUAAUACGUAGGGUGCGAGCGUUAAUCGGAAUUACUGGGCGUAAAGCGUGCGCAGGCGGUUGUGUAAGACAGGUGUGAAAUCCCCGGGCUUAACCUGGGAACUGCGCUUGUGACUGCACAGCUAGAGUAUGGCAGAGGGGGGUGGAAUUCCACGUGUAGCAGUGAAAUGCGUAGAGAUGUGGAGGAACACCGAUGGCGAAGGCAGCCCCCUGGGCCAAUACUGACGCUCAUGCACGAAAGCGUGGGGAGCAAACAGGAUUAGAUACCCCUGUAGUCCCUGUCUCUUAUAC
rnacentral:rRNA from 1 species